CAAAAAGUUUCCAGAUACAUUUCUGUCGGAAAAAAAGCAUAAUUGAAGUGGUCUGGGUGCAUUGUCCCAGGUCCCCUUACAUUGCAAUGGUAGUUAUUGCAGUUUUUGAUAAAAUACCUAUUCUGAGCGUGGCUCUCACUGCACAUGCGCAUUAGGUCCCCUGCCGGCCCGAACCAGCAUCAAGGGACAUCGGUGCUGGAAUCAAAU